rnacentral:rRNA from 1 species
CCCCUCCUUUAUGGAGAUCCCUGGCUGAAUUCAUAGGCCAUGGAGGCGAACCCGGUGAACUGAAACAUCUCAGUAGCCGGAGGAAAAGACAUCAACAGAGAUUCCCCGAGUAGUGGCGAGCGAAAGGGGACCAGGCCAGUGGCCUGUGUGUGUUCAGCUGAAGAACCUGGAAAGGUUUGCCACAGUGGGUGAUAGCCCCGUAGGCGAAAGGCACACAUGGGUUCUUGAGUAGGGCGGGGCACGUGAAACCCUGUCUGAACGUAGGGGGACCACCCUCUAAGCCUAAAUACUCCUUGGUGACCGAUAGUGCACAAGUACCGUGAGGGAAAGGUGAAAAGCACCCCGACAAGGGGAGUGAAAGAGACCUGAAACCGAGCGCCUACAAGCAGUCGGAGCCCGCAAGGGUGACGGCGUACCUUUUGUAUAAUGGGUCCGCGAGUUUCUGUUUGCAGCAAGCUUAAGCCGUUAGGUGUAGGCGCAGCGAAAGCGAGUCCGAACAGGGCGCUGAGUUGCUGGCAGAAGACCCGAAACCGAGUGAUCUAGCCAUGGCCAGGCUGAAGGUGGGGUAACACCCACUGGAGGGCCGAACCCACGCCUGUUGAAAAAGUCGGGGAUGAGCUGUGGCUAGGGGUGAAAGGCCAAUCAAACUCGGAAAUAGCUGGUUCUCCGCGAAAUCUAUUGAGGUAGAUCGUCGUUCGAUUACCGCCGGAGGUAGAGCACCGGAAGGGCUAGGGGGACCCAAAGUCCUACCAAACCCUACCGAACUCCGAAUGCCGGUGAGUACAGGGCGGCAGACAGACAGUGGGUGCUAAGGUCCAUUGUCGAGAGGGAAACAGCCCAGACCACCAGCUAAGGCCCCCAAAUCGUGGCUAAGUGGGAAAGCAUGUGAGACGGCCAAAACAACCAGGAGGUUGGCUUAGAAGCAGCCAUCCUUUAAAGAAAGCGUAAUAGCUCACUGGUCUAAUAGCUGUUUUGCGGCGAAAAUGUAACGGGGCUCAAGCCACGUGCCGAAGCUGUGGAUGCGUUAGCAAUAACGCGUGGUAGCGGAGCGUUCCGUAAGCCUGCGAAGGGAGACCCGUGAGGGCUCCUGGAGGUAUCGGAAGUGCGAAUGCGGACAUGAGUAGCGACAAAGAGGGUGAGAACCCCUCUCGCCGAAAGUCCAAGGGUUCCUGCGCAAGGCCAAUCCGCGCAGGGUGAGCCGGUCCCUAAGGCGAGGGCGACAGCCGUAGCCGAUGGAAAUCAGGUGAAUAUUCC